GUCGGUUGUUACCUAAACACAUGGAUUUGAAGACAAAUUAUGUAAACAAUCCUUCUCUUCUGGUCUGAUAUGAACACUUUCUUCAUCUACUUUCUCAAUCCACCCUUGAGGAUUGCUGAUAGUCGGAAUAUACGAUUCUUGUGCCAGGAGCUUGUUCUUCGCUAUGCAUUUCUUUUUGGAUUUUUUGCUUUCUGCACUCAAUAUUGGGAUCUCUG
rnacentral:misc_RNA from 1 species